rnacentral:lncRNA from 1 species
AACCCGACUAAUAUCUGUAACUUAUUUUGAAGCACGUUGUGAGUGACGAGUCCUUGAAUGUGUGAGUGCCCGGGCGCCCUCCUUACCCUCACGGUUACAGAUCACUUCUUUGUCCUUUGGGUUUUUGCCUCCCCGGCACUGUGACACCGGCUGCCCCGCCUUUGCAAGAUGAAAUGCACAGCCCUUUGGCCUCUUCAUUGCUGGCCUCUAAGGAACUUAUACCAAUUGGUUGUGAAGUUGCAGUCCCGGGACUCAGAGGAUUGGAAUGCUGACUUGCUGCCCUAUCUGUGCCCCACCCCAGCUAUCUCUGCGACGGCCAGCCCUUUCUUAGCCCUGUCCUGUGCCUCUUUAUCACUGGGCUGAGUGGAAAUACGUUACAGUGAAAGCGGAACUGGGAUUUGUCCCGCUCUGAGCCUGCUUCAAGGGUGACGAAUUCGGGUGCUCAAGGCCCAAGACCCCGGGGCGCCACCUCCUAGCCCCAGGCAUCGUGGGCAGCCGGCCUCGAAGGAGCUGGCCGGCUCUACAGGAGAGCACGUGCCACCGUCUGGCUUUGUUUUGCUUCCUUCUAUUAUUGGCAGGGAUUAGCAGCAGAGCAAAUGGUUGAUUUUUAUCGAGGCGUCCCAUCGAGCUUUCCGUUGUUAGGCAGGAGUGUCUUUAACUGUGAGAGUGUCUCUCUCUCGGUUAGAGGAAAAUGUCUGGGUCAAACAUACAGGCUUUACUCUUUUUGUCACCAAGGUCACCUGCUCUGGCAACGCGCGGCUCUGUCUUCACCCGCACGGGGUUUUUAACACCUUCUGUUUGACACUUUGGUGCUUGUCGAGCUGCUGCUGUAGGUUGGAUACUGAAGUCUGAGGCGUGUGUGUGUGUGUGUGUGUGUGUGUGUUUGUGUUUGUUUUGCCAGUUGCAUCCACGGCUUUUUUUUUUUUUUUUUUUUUGCCUUUUAGGGCUGCACUCGUGGCGUACGAGGUUCCCAGGCUAGGGGUCGAACACCACAGCCACGCGGGAUCCGAGCUAAGUCUGCAGCCUACACCACAGCUCACAGUAACGCUGGAUCCUUAACCCACUGAGUGAGGCCCGGGAUCAGACCCGAGACCUCAUGGAUACUAGUCAGGUUCAUUAACCGCUGAGCCACAACAGGAACUCCGAAGCUGUUUUUGAAGUGUGUGUGUCUCUCGCAGACAGUGUGUAGUUGGGUCUCGCAUUUUUAUCCCUUCCGACAGUCUCUUUUAUUGGAGUCUGAAGCGUUUCAUUUUCCUUUCAGCUUUUUAACUCUGCCUCCUUGCAUUUUUUUUCUUUUUUUGGCACCAGUUGCAGCAUAUGGAAGCUCCCAGGCCGGGGAUUGAAUCCGAGCCAGAGCUGGGACAUAUGUCAGAGCUGCGGCAAUGCUGGAUCCUUAACCCACUGUGCCAGGCUGGGGAUUGAACCAGUGCCUCCCCAGAGACAAGCUGGGUCAUUAACCCCCUAGCCACAGCGGGAACUCCUCCUCGUAGCUUUUCCUUUUUCUUUUUUUUUUUUUUUGGCUGCCCUGUGGCAUGUGGAGCUCCCAGGCCAGGGAUCAGAUCCGGGCCCCAGUUGUGGUCUACACUGCGGCUGCACCACCACCAGAUCCUUUCGUCUGCUGUUCCAGGCUGUGGAUCAGACGUGCAUCCUGGCACUGCCAGAGACACCCCAGUGGAUCUCGUCUCAGUGCGUCUUUGUGUGGAGGUUGCUCUAGAUACUAAUCACACUGAAGUUUUAUAUCUACUUAGGGGCAGUGUUAUUGCACGAUUAGAAACUGCCCCUAACAUGCGCCCCCACGGGACCACGCCUCCCUCCUUCCUGCUGUAGUCGAAUAUGUUCUGUGUGUACAUCAUGACCCCACAAGGUGGUGUGGGGUUUUGUUUUGUUUUGUUUUGUUUUUGCUUUUUAGGACUGCACCCGAGGCACAUGGAGGUUCUCCGGUUAGGGGUCGCAUCAGAGCUGCAGCUGCCGGCCUUCAUCACAGCCACAGCAAUGCGGGAUCCAAGCCGCAUCUGCGACCCACACCACAGCUCACACCAACGCCGGAUCCCUCACCCACUCACUGAGCGAGGCCAGGGGUUGAACCGGUGUCCUCACGGACACUAGACACAGCGGGAACUCCACGCAGUGUGAUUUUUUGCUGAAGCAGUCGAGCGGGGUCCGGCGCGUCAGCUGUGCACCUGCAGGUCAGGCUGCCAUGGCAGACCAGCGACAGCGUUCACUGUCCACCUCGGGGGAGUCGCUGUACCACGUGCUGGGGCUGGACAAGAAUGCAACCUCGGAUGACAUCAAGAAGUCCUAUCGGAAGCUGGCCUUGAAGUAUCACCCUGACAAGAACCCCGAUAACCCGGAGGCGGCAGACAAGUUCAAGGAGAUCAACAACGCCCACGCCAUCCUGACCGACGCCACCAAGAGGAACAUUUACGACAAGUACGGCUCGCUGGGUCUCUACGUGGCCGAGCAGUUCGGGGAGGAGAACGUCAACACCUACUUCGUGCUGUCCAGCUGGUGGGCCAAGGCGCUCUUCGUCUUCUGCGGGCUCCUGACCUGCUGCUACUGCUGCUGCUGCCUGUGCUGCUGCUUCAACUGCUGCUGCGGCCGGUGCAAGCCCAAGGCCCCUGACGGCGAGGAGACCGAGUUCUACGUGUCCCCCGAGGACCUGGAGGCGCAGCUGCAGUCCGACGAGCGGGGUGAGCGCCCGCCCUUGUCCGCCGCGCGAUGCGGGGCCAGGGCGGGCCCUGAACGUGUCGCCCUGUCUCGUCAAACAGGAGGGCACUGACACUGUGCGGGAGUGUUGGUGGUGGCGGCGGGACUGUUGUGUGAACGCGGACGCUGGAGGUAACAGCAGCGCAGAGGGCGGUCCCCAUGGCGGACUGCGGGGCCACAGCGCCAGGGACCGAGUAGGUGGGGCGGGGUCGGGGGUGCAGGUCACGGUGGCCUCUCCCCGCUGAGCGCUUGUCCUACGACCUCGGACCCCAGUGGAGCCGCCAGGCGCCAAAGGCGCCGCCAGAAGCGGGUCUCGGGCCACGGGGCGCGGUGCAGCCUGCGGGCCCGCCCUCACGCCGGCGCCUGUGCUUUGCUUGCAGAGGCCGCAGACGCUCCGAUCGCCGUCCAGCCGGCCUCGGCCACGGAGACCACCCAGCUCACGGCCGACUCGCACCCCAGCUACCACACCGACGGGUUCAACUAAGUUCAGGAGGAGCUGCAACGAGAGGGUCAGCGCCCGGCCGGCCGCUCAACCUUAGAAUCAUGAACUGUAGUCACAGAGCUGGCGCGGGAGCCGCUCCGGCCACGGGAAGGGCAGCGCCCGCCCGCCCGCCUCUGUGCCCGCCCGCCAUCCGUCGAUCCCGACCCACGAAGCGCGUAGCAUGCAGUAUUUAAAGCAGUUUAGCUACGGUCUUCUGUUGUUCCUUUCUUUGACAGCAUGUAUGGGUUCUGUUCCAUGUCCGUCUGUGUUGUGGGCGUGUUGCAGCCAGGCCGUGUUCACCCGGCGGGGCGGGGGCAGGGGGGCGCCUCAGGGCUUUCAGUCCGGUCUGUGCCCUGGGUGGAUGGCCCGCGUGGCGCCUCGCGGCCAGGCGGGCCCAGACAGGCUGGGAGCUGUGGGGUCUGCCCGGUGCCCUCUGUGCACGACCGUGUGGCCGCAGGCAGGGCCGUUGGACUCAGGCGCCUGGCGGGAGCUGGGCCCAGCCGCCCGGCGUGGCCCUUCCGUGGUGUUGGUCCCGAGGACAGUCUGUGCGGCCUCUUCGCCUUGUGGGCUCGGCCUGGCAGCGGGCGUUCCCCGUGUGCGGCUGUGGCGGUCGCUGCAGGAGGCUCUGCUGACCACAGUCUUGCCGUGUCGGACCUGAGGCCGGUCCCCGCCCCCUCACCAGGCGUGGGAACGGUCCCGCACUUGCCCAGGCCACGGGCCGGAUGGACAGGGCCCCCUCCCGCAGCCCCGCUCCCCCCGCCCGCACCUUGUCUUCGCCCACAUCUCUGCAGGACCCCCUGGCCCUUUCGGGACCCCCUCAGCAUCGCAGAUGGCAGCAGUGGCCCGGGCCUCGGGAGUCGGGGGCUGAGAGUCCUGGCUGCCGGUGGCGAGCGGCCGUACAGCCCUCCCCUGUGCCACCCAGAGCGCCCAGCCGCCCCCUUCCUUCGCAUGGUCCCUUUGGCUGGUGUUGAUGGCUCGGGUAGAGCUAGAGGCAUCGGACUCAGAGGAAGGACCAGCUGGACCAAAGGCGCACUCUGGGUAGAGGGGUGGGUUCCAGGAGGCCCUGGGCCCUUCAGCGUGUUUGCCCGCGGCCAGGCCACGGAAGCCCUGGGAGGGCGCUCCUGCCUGGCCUGUGCGUGGCACUGCCGGGUUUCUGCAGAACGAGCCGAGGGAACAGCCAGUGGGAAGGACGGGGUGGGGGCCGCACGCAGGGAGGUCAGACGCACCUGAAGUCACUGGCGGCAUCGGCAGCGUCCCCUGUUCCCCCUCCCCCCCGCCCCCCCGCCGCCAUGGCCCGAGCACUCCAGGAGCCGUGCUGGGGGAGGCCCCGUUUUGUUGGGGGUUUUGUGCGGGAGGAUGAUCACGGAGGUGUCCAGUGAGGGAGGUGCGCCCUGAUACUGAGCUAGAAGGGCCCCGGGCUUGGGCUGCUGGGAGGGUUAGGAAAUGCACUGUCUCACCGCCCAGGACGGGGAGGAGGCCCCAUGCAGGGCGGUCUUCACUGCCAGUUCCCGUCCAGCAGCAGGAGUCCAGCCCGAGGGGGAGGCAGCCAGUCUUCCUGCUGUCUCUGGAAAUAACUAGGAAGUGAGUUGUUUGCCCCGAACGGCCAAGAACCCAGCUCAAAGCUUCGGGCAGGAAGCCGCCCCUGCACCGUGUCUGUGCUCUUGCUUUGUGUCCAGAAGCACUGAGGCCCGUGGCACACGCCAGUGGUCCCCUGCCGGGGGUCUUUCGGUUCUAGAAUCUUACGGAUCGUCUCCUAGAAACAUGACGCUCCCUGGAGGCCCGGGUGGCGUGGGAAGGAGGGGCAGGUCUGGGUCGAACCCGUCCCCUGUGGGGUUUGUAAAAAUGAGAUAAGUGGUGAGUGAUGACAGCAGCCCUCAAGCCGAUGCUGAUGCUGCCCCGAGGCCCAGGCCCCCGGGAGCUGAGCCCGGGUCUGGACCACCCCCCGCCUGACCCAACCCGAAGCGUGUCCUCUCUGGGGUCCGGGGCAGAAGCCUUUCCCAGGGGUCUACUGUCCACACUCGCAGGCCGCCUCCUGGCUGGAGACCAAGGUCCCCGGGUGCCCUUUGCCCGCGUGGUUGUCUGUUCUCUGGGGAGCAGUGUCGUGUCUGGAGGGGUGCAGCCGCGCCUGUGCUCGGCAAGGACAGCUCUCUGCCUGUCGUGGUGGGGACAGGCGUGCUGUGGGCCUCACGCUAGGUGGCCCGCCGUGGCCAGGGCUGGGGGACCCGAGGGUGGGUGGGGACAGGGCUGUGCACGUCUCUGUUUGUGCGUGGUGACUGGUUCCCGGGUCUUCGGGCCUUACCCUGCUUCCCGCUGCUUUCGCUGUGAGCCCUCCCGCUUCUCUGGUCAGUCGAGUGGGACCGCUGGGCAAAGCCUGGGCGCGCUGGGCGGGGCGGGCGGCGUGUCCACACCGCUGGCCGGGGAGCCCGUCCGGGGCGGCCUGGUCAGCAUCUGGAGGGAGUGCGCCCGGGAGAGCCCUGCCUGUCCUGGCUCAGUGCGUGCGCCCGGGGGGCAGCUUGGAGGCUGUGGCAACGGGCCUGAUCGCAUUCCUCUGGCGGCUUCUGAGCUGUGAACUCUGUGACCCGGGACUCACCUGUUGCGCUCCUCCUCCUGUGGAAUUGGCAGCCAGCUCCGUUUCCUCCUGUCGUUUCAAGCACGGUUGGCGUCGUCUGCUGUAGGUGUGGGCGUAGUGUGGGUGUAGUGUGUGUACAUAUGUGUAUAUGUAUAUAUCACGCAGCAGGCGUGACUGCUGCUGUCCAGUGGCGAAGCAACAAGUACAAUAAAAAUCGG